rnacentral:rRNA from 1 species
AUUGAACGCUGGCGGCAGGCCUAACACAUGCAAGUCGAGCGGAGCGGCGGACGGGUGAGUAAUGCCCAGGAAUCUGCCUUGUAUUGGGGGAUAACGUCCGGAAACGGGCGCGAAUACCGCAUACUAUCAGAUGAGCCUAGGUCGGAUUAGCUAGUUGGUGGGGUAAAGGCCUACCAAGGCGACGAUCCAUAACUGGUCUGAGAGGAUGAUCAGUCACACUGGAACUGAGACACGGUCCCGACUCCUACGGGAGGCAGCAGUGGGGAAUAUUGGACAAUGGGCGAAAGCCUGAUCCAGCCAUGCCGCGUGUGUGAAGAAGGUCUUCGGAUUGUAAAGCACUUUCAGUUGGGAGGCGUUACCAACAGAAUAAGCCCCGGCUAACUUCGUGCCAGCAGCCGCGGUAAUAC